GACGAACGCUGGCGGCGUGCUUAACACAUGCAAGUCGAACGGAGUGGCGAACGGGUGAGUAACACGUGGGUGACCUGCCCUGCACUUCGGGAUAAGCCUGGGAAACUGGGUCUAAUACCGGAUAGUGUGGGAUGGGCCCGCGGCCUAUCAGCUUGUUGGUGGGGUAAUGGCCUACCAAGGCGGCGACGGGUAGCCGGCCUGAGAGGGUGGACGGCCAACAUGGGACCGGGGCACCGGCCAGGCUUCUAAGGGGGGCAGCAGGGGGGAAUAUUGGACCAUGGGGGGAAGGCUUAUGCAGCGACGCCGCGGGGGGGAUGACGGCCUUCGGGUUGUAAACUCCUUUCACCAUCGACGCGGUAGAUGGAGAAGAAGCACCGGCUAACUACGUGCCAGCAGCCGCGGUAAUAC
rnacentral:rRNA from 1 species